GAGAUGAGUUCUCACUAGACUUUUAAAGUCUCUGAAGGGCCGUUGAAGACUACAACGUUGAUAGGCAAGAUGUGGAAGUGGUGUGAGCCAUUAAGCUAACUUGUACUAAUUACCCGUGAGGCUUAACCAUACAACGCCAAACGCGUUU
rnacentral:rRNA from 1 species